UACGGAGGAUGCAAGCGUUAUCCGGAAUUAUUGGGCGUAAAGAGUCCGCAGGUGGCGAUUCAAGUCUGCUGUUAAAGACCAGAGCUUAACUCGGGAAAAGCGGUGGAAACUGAAAAGCUAGAGUUCGGGAGGGGUAGAGGGAAUUCCCAGUGUAGCGGUGAAAUGCGUAGAGAUUGGGAAGAACACCAGUGGCGAAGGCGCUCUACUGGACCGAAACUGACACUGAGGGAGGAAAGCUAGGGGAGCGAAAGCG
rnacentral:rRNA from 1 species